rnacentral:lncRNA from 1 species
AUGGUGGUGCUGGGGAGCUGGGCUGUGGGAGUUGGGCUGUGGGAGCUGGGCCAGGCCAGCAAAUCAUUCCCGAAGGUGGAGAACUGCCGGCUGAGGGCACCGUGGGCCUGGGUCCAGGGCCCAGCGUGGAACCUCUUCUUCUGGAGCACCAGGGGUCACAACAGCAUGGGCCUGGGUCCAGGGCCCAGCGUGGAACCCCUUCUCCUGGAGCACCAGGGGUCACAACAGUCCCUCUACUCCACGAUCACGGGUGACCCACGGCCGGGUGCUUUCGGGACGAGACAAAGACAGCGUGUUCCUCCAAGCCCCUGCCUGCCGCUCCGUCACUGGGGCCAUGGUCUGCGUGCCAACAACCUUUUAGGAAGCAUCUUGUGCCCACCCUCACCACCCCGCAAAAAACCUGUGUCCAAAACACUUGGCAGUGGGCUUCAAACACUCAGGUGCCCCGAGGAGGCGCCGGGAGAUGAGCCCAGAGCGCUGACUGGCGAAGGCCCCAGCAGGACUGGGCCGUGGGACUUGCUUGUUUACCUCUUAAGAGAAAAACACAACGAAAAAAGCUUCUGGGUAGAAUUGGAAGUUCUGGGGCUCUCGGCGCCUCGGCCUCCGCGCGGUUCUCUUCCUCCCCUCCCCGGCCUGCUUUUCCUCCUUCUUUCCCUCUUUGUUGCCAACCUCAGAGCCGCGGCUGAAACCCAGCCCAGCGUCCGCGAAGCCCGGAAACUUCCAGCUCCGCGACUGUGCAGAAAGUUGGGGGGCGCGGCCGGGGUGACAGCAGCAUCUCGGGAGCGGCCGCGGCGGCCACCCGGGACCUCGGCCUCCCGCGCCUCCCGCUGCCCCAGCCGCGCCCGGGGACCUCGGGCAGCCCGCGGGCCGGACGUGAACUUGACCGUCGCUGUGCCCGCCUGGACCGGGGCGCGCUCGGGACGAUCUGAACGUGGCCCCGUCCCAGAGCACCACCCGAGACAUCAGGAGCACAUCGCGGGCUUGGGAAGACCCUCCGGGACCUCACGGCCCAGGUCUUCCACCGUUGGCCACCUCCCCAGUGACGCCUGAAGCUCAAGGGACUGUGUCUAUCCUCAGGCCCUGCCCAUGGCUCCAGAUCGGCGGUCCCCGUCAGAGGCCUGGGCUGAGUCCUCAG